AUUGAACGCUGGCGGCAUGCUUUACACAUGCAAGUCGAACGGCAGCGCGGGCUUCGGCCUGGCGGCGAGUGGCGAACGGGUGAGUAAUGCAUCGGAACGUGCCCAGUAGUGGGGGAUAGCCCGGCGAAAGCCGGAUUAAUACCGCAUACGACCUGAGGGGGAAAGCGGGGGACCGAAAGGCCUCGCGCUAUUGGAGCGGCCGAUGUCGGAUUAGCUAGUUGGUGGGGUAAAGGCUUACCAAGGCGACGAUCCGUAGCUGGUCUGAGAGGACGACCAGCCACACUGGGACUGAGACACGGCCCAGACUCCUACGGGAGGCAGCAGUGGGGAAUUUUGGACAAUGGGGGCAACCCUGAUCCAGCCAUGCCGCGUGCGGGAAGAAGGCCUUCGGGUUGUAAAACGCUUUUGUUCGGGAAGAAAUCCUCUGGGCUAAUACCCCGGGGGGAUGACGGUACCGGAAGAAUAAGCACCGGCUAACUACGUG
rnacentral:rRNA from 1 species